GACGAACGCUGGCGGCGUGCUUAACACAUGCAAGUCGAACGAAGAGCGACGGAAGCUUGCUUCUAUCAAUCUUAGUGGCGAACGGGUGAGUAACGCGUAAUCAACCUGCCCUCCAGAGGGGGACAACAGUUGGAAACGACUGCUAAUACCGCAUACGAUCUAACCUCGGCAUCGAGGAUAGAUGAAAGGUGGCCUCUACAUGUAAGCUAUCACUGAAGGAGGGGAUUGCGUCUGAUUAGCUAGUUGGAGGGGUAACGGCCCACCAAGGCGAUGAUCAGUAGCCGGUCUGAGAGGAUGAACGGCCACAUUGGGACUGAGACACGGCCCAGACUCCUACGGGAGGCAGCAGUGGGGAAUCUUCCGCAAUGGACGAAAGUCUGACGGAGCAACGCCGCGUGAGUGAUGACGGCCUUCGGGUUGUAAAGCUCUGUUAAUCGGGACGAAAGGCCUUCUUGCGAAUAGUGAGAAGGAUUGACGGUACCGGAAUAGAAAGCCACGGCUAACUACGUG
rnacentral:rRNA from 1 species